GAAAGAAUAUCGGAGACGGAUGGGCAUGCGGCGCAUUAGCUAGUUGGCGGGGUAACGGCCCACCAAGGCGACGAUGCGUAGGGGUUCUGAGAGGAAGGUCCCCCACACUGGUACUGAGACACGGACCAGACUCCUACGGGAGGCAGCAGUGAGGAAUAUUGGUCAAUGGGCGAGAGCCUGAACCAGCCAAGUCGCGUGAGGGAGUACUGCCCUAUGGGUUGUAAACCUCUUUUGUCGGGGAGCAAAAGCCGGACGUGUCCGGCUGUGAGAGUACCCGAAGAAAAAGCAUCGGCUAACUCCGUGCCAGCAGCCGCGGUAAUACGGAGGAUGCGAGCGUUAUCCGGAUUUAUUGGGUUUAAAGGGUGCGCAGGCGGAUUUUUAAGUCAGCGGUCAAAUCGUGGGGCUCAACCCCAUCCAGCCGUUGAAACUGGGGAUCUAGAGUGUGCGAGAGGUAUGCGGAAUGCGUGGUGUAGCGGUGAAAUGCAUAGAUAUCACGCAGAACCCCGAUUGCGAAGGCAGCAUACCGGUGCACAACUGACGCUCAGGCACGAAAGCGUGGGUAUCGAACAGGAUUAGAUACCCUGGUAGUCCACGCAGUAAACGAUGAAUGCUACCUGUUUGGCCUGAUUGAGGGCUGA
rnacentral:rRNA from 1 species